CGGAAGGUCAUGAGGGCCUGACCCUCGUACGCGGAAGGCCAUGAGGGCGGGACCCUGGUACGCGGAAGGCCAUGAGGGCGGGAACCCUCGUACGCGGAAGUUCAUGAGGGCGGGACCCUCGUACGCGGAAGGUCAUGAGGGCGGGACCCUCGUACGCGGAAGUUCAUGCGGGCGGGACCCUCGUACGUGGAAGGUCAUGAGGGCGGGACCCUCGUACGUGGAAGGUCAUGAGGGCGGAACCCUGGUACAUGAAAUUCGUUCUCUUAUUUAAGAGACAAAGAACGCCCUUGUUUUUUCCACCACGUGAUGGCGCAGACAGAAGACAACCAGCAUCUAUGAACCAGGAAGCCCCCACCAGGCACUGAAUCUGCCCCUGCGUGGAUCUUAGACUUGCAGACUCCAGAACUGUCCAAAUUUUGGUCUGGAGCCAGAGACAAUAUAGGAUGAAGUUUGAUUUGUUCCAAAACCCACAGAAAUCUCUAAAAUGGAAGAAUUUUCUUAGAACCAAAAGGCAUGGAAUUGAUGACAUGAAACUGUUCUCUCUCCUGCCACCAUUUGAAGAAGGGUGUGUUUGCUUCCCCUUCCACCAUGAUUCUAAGUUUCCUGAGGCCUCCCCAGCUAUGCAGAACUAGUUUUGCUCGGUCACUCACGGCAACCUCCGCCUCCUGGGUUCAAGCAGUUCUCCUGCCUCAGUCUCCCGAGUAGCUGGGACUCUACAGGCAUCCCCCAUCAGAUGUUGUUCUGUUGGGUUUCAUUUAACCAGUCUCAACAAAUGAUACAGAAUAUUUCCUAAAGAACUUAUAAUCCAAUAAAUGACUUUUUGAUGCCUCAUGGAGAAAAUUGGCUUUGAGACCACACUUCUUCCCACUUCUUCAAUAUAAAAGAAAAACAAGUUCUUAUUAACACAAUUUUGGACACUCAAGCACAUUCUAUGGUUCUGUAUUGGUGAUGAAAACUGCCUAUGAGCGACUACCAACCUCUUUUAUGCUGCCUAUUUUUGGAGAUGUCCAAAUUUAAGAUUAAGGAUUCUGGAAAUUUGUUUCACAUAUUCUCUUUCUCUUUCUCUCAAGGUUAGGGUACCCAGUGUCUUCCAAACUAAAGUAUUGUAAUAUUACCCUGCCACCUAGGGGUAUUGCCAAAGAAAUUUAUGCAUGUAUAUAGACAUUUAGUGUAUUGGUCAAAAUGUGACAAUUAUGUUAUUAAAGUAUGUAAUUAACAGUCACAAUUGUGUUUUUGUAUUUUGUUUUCUCUUUCAUAAUAGUCUUUGUUCUUGAAACCAAAUGAGAAUGGU
rnacentral:lncRNA from 1 species